CUAAUGUAAAUGAUGACUUAAGGGGUGCAGCACACCAACAUGGCACAUGUAUACAUAUGUAACAAACCUACACGUUGUGCACAUGUACCCUAGAACUUAAAGUAUAAUAAUAAAAAAUAAUAAUAAUAUUUAAAAAAGACCAAUUUCAAAGUAUUCUUGAGAGCUAGUUGUUUAAAUGAUGUGUUCCUUUUUUGAUAACUAAACAAUUUAAUGGAAAAGCCACUAUAAGUGACAGAAAAGCUAACAAUACUUGGUUUAGGUAUUUUAAAAUGAAACAGUAACAAUGCAUUGCUCUAUCUCUUUCUCCAUUUUCAAGUUCUUAUUGAAAGUUGUCAGUGCAGCUGUCCAGGCCCAACAUUCAGCCACAAAGGUCAAAGAUCCCACAGAAGAGGCCACACCCACUCCUUUUGGGAAAGACCAAGAUUGGCCAGCUCUAGCUGUGGAUUUAGCCCAUCACCUUCAAGUUAGUGAAGAUGUUGUUAGAAGGCAUUAUGUGGGGGAACUAUACAACUAUGGAGUUGACCACUUAGGAGAAGAGGCCAUUCUACAGGUUCAUGACAAAGAGGUCCUUGCCUCUCAGCUGCUGGUGCUCACGGGGCAAAGGCUGGCUCAUGCGCUUCUCCACACCCAGACAAAAGAAGGAAUGGAGCUGCUUGCCAGACUUCCACCCACACUGUGUACUUGGCUGAAAGCAAUGGACCCCCAGGACCUUCAAAACACUGAAGUGCCAAUUGCAACAACAGCUAAACUAGUAAAUAAAGUAAUUGAGCUUUUACCAGAAAAACAUGGGCAAUAUGGUCUAGCCUUACACCUCAUUGAAGCUGUGGAAGCCAUAUCUCUUCCUUCUU
rnacentral:lncRNA from 1 species